rnacentral:rRNA from 1 species
CCUUUGCCGGCGACCGGCGCACGGGUGAGUAACACGUAUGCAACCUGCCCUCGUUCAGGGGGACAACCUUCCGAAAGGGAGGCUAAUCCCGCGUAUAUCGGUUUCGGGCAUCCGAGAUCGAGGAAAGAUUCAUCGGAAGAGGAUGGGCAUGCGGCGCAUUAGCUAGACGGCGGGGUAACGGCCCACCGUGGCGACGAUGCGUAGGGGUUCUGAGAGGAAGGUCCCCCACACUGGUACUGAGACACGGACCAGACUCCUACGGGAGGCAGCAG